rnacentral:rRNA from 1 species
UACGGAGGAGGCAAGCGUUAUCCGGAAUUAUUGGGCGUAAAGCGUCCGUAGAUGGUUUUGUGAGUCUGCUGUCAAAGCACAGGGCUUAACCCUGUAAAGGCAGUGGAAACUACAAGACUAGAGUGCAGUAGGGGCAGAGGGAAUUCCCAGUGUAGCGGUGAAAUGCGUAGAGAUUGGGAAGAACAUCCGUGGCGAAAGCGCCCUGCUGGACUGCAACUGACAUUGAGGGACGAAAGCUAGGGGAGCGAAUGGG